rnacentral:misc_RNA from 1 species
AUUCACUGGGUGACCCCCAAUAUUGACACAUCCAGCCCCAACAGCGUCAAUAAGAUUGGCUAUAGCACCAGCUGCUAAUUUUCCUUCUCUGUUCGUGAGUCGAGGAGGAACUUUGAAUGUGCAAAAGACACGAUCGGAUUCAAGCCUAUCAACUCGGAUACCUCUGAGGGCAUAACACUCGUAGAGACUAAACUCCGCGCCAGUUGGGAUAGGAAGGAAAUCAAGUGAGGAAACCCGGUCCGAUUCUUCCUGGGUCAGUUCAAGGAAAGCUUUUG